AAAGGCUAGGGCGGGUGCUAUACAUGCAAGUCGAGCGAACAGACGAGGAGCUUGCUCCUCUGACGUUAGCGGCGGACGGGUGAGUAACACGUGGAUAACCUACCUAUAAGACUGGGAUAACUUCGGGAAACCGGAGCUAAUACCGGAUAAUAUAUUGAACCGCAUGGUUCAAUAGUGAAAGACGGUUUUGCUGUCACUUAUAGAUGGAUCCGCGCCGCAUUAGCUAGUUGGUAAGGUAACGGCUUACCAAGGCAACGAUGCGUAGCCGACCUGAGAGGGUGAUCGGCCACACUGGAACUGAGACACGGUCCAGACUCCUACGGGAGGCAGCAGUAGGGAAUCUUCCGCAAUGGGCGAAAGCCUGACGGAGCAACGCCGCGUGAGUGAUGAAGGUCUUCGGAUCGUAAAACUCUGUUAUUAGGGAAGAACAAAUGUGUAAGUAACUAUGCACGUCUUGACGGUACCUAAUCAGAAAGCCACGGCUAACUACGUGCCAGCAGCCGCGGUAAUACGUAGGUGGCAAGCGUUAUCCGGUAUUAUUGGGCGUAAAGCGCGCGUAGGCGGUUUUUUAAGUCUGAUGUGAAAGCCCACGGCUCAACCGU
rnacentral:rRNA from 1 species